CGAUUAAAUCUCUCGAGUAGACGCUGUCUCUUUAGAUGCGAGGGCAAAAUAGCACUUUAUGGACUUCCACAGAGGACAUCAUGUUUAAUACGGUUCCGGAAAAAUCCAGUCAGAAGUUGUUCACGGAGUUUUCACAAUAACUGCUUCUCAUGAACCGAAGCUGGAUUUGCGCGGCGUCUCCUCUUGAAAGUUGGAUUACUGUGCACUUCUGGAUCACAGACUGUAAGUAUUCAUGUUUAUUAUUUGCCUUUUACUGUACAUUACGUAACCGGUAACCGGAGAUUAACAUAAUGUGCGUGUAGAGCUAAGCUUGCAAGCUAAUUGUUUUGUGUUGUAAUACUGUAUUUCAUAAACAACGUACCAUAUUUACACACGUGUAUGUUGAAUUAUGCAGGCUUUCGUUUUUUUUAUCGAUGUUGGUUUAGACAUGUUUACAAACUUGCUAAGUUGCUAAGAUAAAUACAAAUACAAAUGCCAGCUAAACUGUUACCGGUAAAAUUUGUUCUCAUGAUCAAACUCAAGAAACUCUAAGUACAGAUGAUUUGUUUAAAGUUAUAUGUAUUUUACUGUUGUAUUUACUUGAAGCUUUCUUAGAUUUUGAAACGAAGUAAACACGUAAUGUGUGUUGCUAAUGUUGGGCCAUGUAAUAUGUAAUACAUUUACGUUUUAAUGAAUAGUCUAACGAUUUAUAGUCGUUGUACUCUAUUGUUAUAAUAUUUCUUUUUGACUGAAUACAUGUUUGUUUUAUUUGUCUAUAUCCUAGAUUCGCAGCUGUACACAUCCUUCUACACUGUAUGCAAACAUGCAACAUCAUUACACACAGUACAAGGAGUCAGACUGGCAUAUGAGGAGCAAAGGAACCCAGGCAGUAGCAUCGUUUCACAAUGUUUCCAUCAUCAUCAUCAGUGGAUGCCUUUGCCGUCCGUAGCCUGAGAUUUCAGAUUUGCAGCAAAAAAAAAAUGAUUUUCUCAUUUAUUGGAAUGCUGUGCAGGUAUUUGUACCUUGCAGCCAUCCAUUACAAUGUCACCAAGCCGUAACAAAAGCAGGAGAGGGAAAGUACAAGGCUAUGUUCCCAAAACACAAAUGACAUACCUUAUGUGGAGGAUGUGAUCAGGCUUGUGUUUGAUGAGGUAUUUGAAGAUAAGCUGAAGGAAACCCCAAUUCCAAUGGACCUGGCAUCACAGUUUGAGAGACCUUCAAAGGAGGACGUGAUUGCAUGCCAUCUUCAGUGCAGGGGUCGUCGAAAGCCAAAAUUGUGACCGAUCUGAUCAGGAAGCUCCAAGCGUAUCUGGAGAACAACACACGACAGGAUGAUAACCUUAUAGUGUCGUCUUAGAUAGCACCAGCUGACAAAGCUUUGCUGUGCCAUUUAUCUGAAUAGAUAGCUGUAAG